GCAUGAGAAUCGCUUGAACCCAGGAGGUAGAGGUCAUGGUGAGCCAAACUCCUGCCAUUGCACUCCAGCCUAGGCAACAAGACCAAAACUCUGUCUCAAAAAAAAAAAAAAAAAAAAAAGAA